CAGCAAGCAGUUUGUGAAAGCCUGGGUGAAAUCGCCCUGCAGAGAGGACAGACUCGAGUGUAUCAAACCAGUUCUGCCCUUUUCCAUAUGAGUCACCCAGAAGAGGAGGAAAGAAUGCAUGAUGGACUAACACAAGUAAUAACCAAGGUUACAACAAGAGACUGAAGAGGUUCCCUACAGUUGGUGCCAGAACUGGACACCCAGUGAGAGAAAAUAAGUGGGCAGUGGGUACACUUCCCAACAGUGAACAACAGAAAGGAGGAAGUGCAUUUGUGAAAGCUAGUAUUCAGCACUGGAGUGCAUGGUACUGGCACAUCAGGGGUAAAGCAUGGGGAUACAUAUUUUCUAGGGCUAGGAGAUAUACAGGCUUCUAAGAAGCCAAAAGAGAAAGGGAUAUUGAGGUGCAAGUAGAGCCACCCACCUGACCUCUCUGAAGUGGUAACAACAAAGCAAUUGAAUGAGACUCUACAAAAAAUAAAAUCAGAAAUAACUGUGGAAAUGGUGUCCACAACAAAAACCAUGCUUAGUGACACUAGAGCAGAUACAAAGAAAUAGAAGAGCUUAAGAAAAUUAUGGAAGCCA